rnacentral:rRNA from 1 species
CCUACGGGUGGCUGCAGUGGGGAAUAUUGCGCAAUGGGCGAAAGCCUGACGCAGCGACGCCGCGUGAGGGAUGAAGGUCUUCGGAUCGUAAACCUCUGUCCGCAGGGAAGAACGGUCACUGUGCUAAUCAGCAAUGAAUUGACGGUACCUGCAAAGGAAGCACCGGCUAACUCCGUGCCAGCAGCCGCGGUAAGACGGAGGGUGCGAGCGUGAGUCGGAAUUACUGGGCGUACAGCGCUCGUAGGCCGUAUGUCAAGUCAAGGGUGAAAUCCCGGCGCUCAACUUGGGAACUGCCUUUGUAACUGGCAAACUGGAGUGUGUGAGAGGAUGGUGGAAUUCCAGGUGUAGGAGUGAAAUCCGUAGAUAUCUGGAGGAACAUCAGUGGCGAAGGCGACUAUCUGGCACAUAACUGACGCUGAGGAGCGAAGGCGUGGGUAGCAAACAGGAUUAGAUACCCUAGUAGUC